GAAAUUUUGGGCCACAGAAAUAUCUAGCUCCAUGUGUAUAGCAUUUGCAAUGAAAGGUUUAUUUUUAACUUCUUAUCUCUGUUAAACAGAUAACAUUUCCCCAAGACUAGAUAUAUUAUCAACUCUUUAUUUCCCUUGGCACUACUUAAUGUGACACCAGUAUAUUUCCAGAAUGACAUUCCUGUCAAAUUAUUUUUAGAGAUGAAAAUAGGCUACAAAGUUCUUUGUAAACAUUAAUGCAAAACUCAACAGAGUAACCUGAAAUCAAAUGUGUGGCUAAACAAGCAUUUAUUCAUGUUUGAACUGUUUUUUU